rnacentral:tRNA from 1 species
GCCCGGGUGGUGGAACUGGUAGACACGCUAUCUUGAGGGGGUAGUGGCCGUAAGGCCGUGCGGGUUCGAGUCCCGCCUCGGGCA